UUGGUUAUGCAUGAAAGAGCGCAGGGUGGAUGCCUUGGCACUAAGAGCCGAUGAAAGACGUGAUAAGCUGCGAAAAGCUUCGGGGAGGAGCAAAUAUCCAUUGAUCCGGAGAUUUCUGAAUGGGGAAACCCACAUGAGCAAACCUCAUGUAUCCAUACGCCAAUCCAUAACGUAUGGAGGGGAACCCGGUGAACUGAAACAUCUAAGUAGCCGGAGGAAGAGAAAGAAACAUCGAUCCCGGGAGUAGCGGCGAGCGAAACCGGGAGAGCCCAAACCGGGGUGCGUGCACCCCGGGGUUCGGACCGC
rnacentral:rRNA from 1 species